rnacentral:tRNA from 1 species
GGGAUGUAGUUCAAUGGUAGAAUGCUUGCUUAGCAUGUUGCUUAGCAUGUGUUAGGCCCUGGGUUUGAUCCCCAUUAUCACA